rnacentral:rRNA from 1 species
CAUGCAAGUCGAACGAGAGAGAAGGAGCUUGCUUCUUCGAUUGAGUGGCGAACGGGUGAGUAACGCGUGAGGAACCUGCCUCAAAGAGGGGGACAACAGUUGGAAACGACUGCUAAUACCGCAUAAGCCCACGGGUCGGCAUCGACCUGAGGGAAAAGGAGCAAUCCGCUUUGAGAUGGCCUCGCGUCCGAUUAGCUAGUUGGUGAGGUAACGGCCCACCAAGGCGACGAUCGGUAGCCGGACUGAGAGGUUGAACGGCCACAUUGGGACUGAGACACGGCCCAGACUCCUACGGGAGGCAGCAGUGGGGAAUAUUGCACAAUGGGGGAAACCCUGAUGCAGCGACGCCGCGUGGAGGAAGAAGGUCUUCGGAUUGUAAACUCCUGUUGUUGAGGAAGAUAAUGACGGUACUCAACAAGGAAGUGACGGCUAACUACGUGCCAGCAGCCGCGGUAAAACGUAGGUCACAAGCGUUGUCCGGAAUUACUGGGUGUAAAGGGAGCGCAGGCGGGAAGACAAGUUGGAAGUGAAAUCUAUGGGCUCAACCCAUAAACUGCUUUCAAAACUGUUUUUCUUGAGUAGUGCAGAGGUAGGCGGAAUUCCCGGUGUAGCGGUGGAAUGCGUAGAUAUCGGGAGGAACACCAGUGGCGAAGGCGGCCUACUGGGCACCAACUGACGCUGAGGCUCGAAAGUGUGGGUAGCAAACAGGAUUAGAUACCCUGGUAGUCCACACCGUAAACGAUGAUUACUAGGUGUUGGAGGAUUGACCCCUUCAGUGCCGCAGUUAACACAAUAAGUAAUCCACCUGGGGAGUACGACCGCAAGGUUGAAACUCAAAGGAAUUGACGGGGGCCCGCACAAGCAGUGGAGUAUGUGGUUUAAUUCGACGCA